CACGCCUCCUCACCUUUUACCAUGAGAAUUCUUCAUGCCCACUAAGGAGCCAAGCCCCCUCUCUUCUCUUCUCUUGCAUGAAAGAAAGAGGCGUCCCUCUUUCUUGUCACCCAAAAGAAAAAAGAAGGUGAGGGGCAUCCAAGAAUUGAACGCCCCACAACCCCAUGUGCAAAUUGGAUGCCCCACAACCCCAUGUUCAAAGUCCCUCUUCUUCUCCCUUCU
rnacentral:lncRNA from 1 species